rnacentral:lncRNA from 1 species
UACUUGAAGGAGAGCAUAAUUAGACCUAAUAAGAUUUUAUUCUUGAAAUACGAAGACCUUAAAGAAGAUGUUAGUUUUAACCUCAAAAGAAUUGCAGAAUUUGUGGGAUUUCCUUUCACUCAAGAAGAGGAAAAUAAUGAAGUGAUUGAAAAUAUAAUCAAGUUAUGCAGCUUUGAGAGUAUGAAGAGAUCAAAGGGAAAUCAAUCUGGAAUAAUAGGAGUCAUUGAUAAAGAGUUUUUCUUUAGAAAGGGAGAGAUGGGGGAUUGGGUGAAUUAUCUCUCCCCUUCAAUGAUAGAAAAAUUAUCCAAAGUCAUAAAAGAAAAAUUAAGUGGAUUAAGCCUAUCAUUUAAAGGGUGCCCUUAACUCAGCAACAAAGUUGGUGUUUUGUUGUAUUUAAUAUAUGUGUUUGGUGUUGGUGCUCUAUUUAUUUUCUUAAUUUGCAAAAUAAAGACACAUUACAUGUCUAUUCAGACUAUUCUAUCAUGUGGUAAUCUAGAUUGUCACCAAACAAUCCCUUCAAGAAUCAGUUCGAUGGAAAGUGUCAAUGUGUG